UGGGGAAUAUUGCACAAUGGGUGAAACCCUGAUGCAGCGACGCCGCGUGAGCGAAGAAGGCUUUCGAGUCGUAAAGCUCUGUCCUAUGAGAAGAUAAUGACGGUAUCAUAGGAGGAAGCCCUGGCUAAAUACGUGCCAGCAGCCGCGGUAAUACGUAUGGGGCGAGCGUUGUCCGGAAUUAUUGGGCGUAAAGGGUACGUAGGUGGUUUUUUAAGUCAGGUGUCAAAGCGUGGAGCUUAACUCCAUUAAGCACUUGAAACUGAAAGACUUGAGUGAAGGAGAGGAAAGUGGAAUUCCUAGUGUAGCGGUGAAAUGCGUAGAUAUUAGGAGGAAUACCGGUGGCGAAGGCGACUUUCUGGACUUUUACUGACGCUCAGGUACGAAAGCGUGGGGAGCAAACAGG
rnacentral:rRNA from 1 species